GAAAAGCUUGAGCAUGUCCAAAGAGCAACAACCAUGAUGGUGAGAAAGACUCAAAACUCUGUCUUAUGAAGAUGAGAUGAGAAAACUGAGGUUGAGAGAUGUAAAGUAGCUCGCUGGAGUCACAUGGCUAAGACUGUGAGGCAAGAUUCAAAUUCAGCUCUUCCUGACUCCAGGGGAGGGAGUUAUUUUGAAGUGCUUUGGUCCUCGGAUGUGGAGCUCUAUUCUGGCUGUCUACUCACCCCUAGCUUUGUGUCAAUGAGCUGCAUUUCAGGAUCUGUGCAGGAGGAACAUCGCACUGACUGACACAACAUAAUUUGGAGCCAUUACAAUGUAUUGUGUGUAGGACACUACUGUGGGGCUGUUAAUAUGCAGAAUUUUGCAUAGUAUGAAUGCUAAUCACUUUGACGAUGAUGCUAUUCAUACAAUAUGUAAUACUUGCUAAACAAAAUUAUGAAACAUAAUUACUGCUCAGGCACAGUUGCUGCUUUCAGUCCUCAAAAACCCAGUCAUUUAAAAUUGUGUUUUCUUUAAAUAAAUGGCAACAAUCCCCACUAAAGACUAUGGGCCUAGAUAAUUUCCUUUUUGAAAAAAGGAGCCUUUUUAUCUUUAGUGAGUGACAAAAACAUCCCUUUAUGAAAGGUUUAUAACUCAGCCAUUCAAAUGUGCUUCAGGCUGAAAUUU